rnacentral:rRNA from 1 species
CAGUAGCCGCGGUAAUACGGGGGGGGCAAGCGUUGUUCGGAUUUAUUGGGCGUAAAGGGUGCGUAGGCGGUUUGGCAAGUCUCGUGUGAAAUCUAUGGGCUCAACCCAUAGCCUGCACGAGAAACUACCGGGCUUGAGUAUUGGAGAGGUGAGUGGAAUUUCCGGUGUAGCGGUGAAAUGCGUAGAUAUCGGAAGGAACACCUGUGGCGAAAGCGGCUCACUGGACAAUAACUGACGCUGAUGCACGAAAGCUAGGGGAGCAAACAGGAUUAGAUACCCCCGUAGUCCCUGUCUCUUAUAC